rnacentral:rRNA from 1 species
AUUAGAUACCCGCGUACGUCCCAGACCGUAAACUAUGCGCGUUAGGUGUAUCGGUGACCACGAGUCACCGAGGUGCCGAAGGGAAACCGUGAAACGUGCCGCCUGGGAAGUACGGUCGCAAGGCUGAAACUUAAAGGAAUUGGCGGGGAGCACCACAACAGGUGGAGCCUGCGGUUUAAUUGGACUCAACGCCGGGAAGCUCACCGGAUAGGACAGCAGAAUGAUUGCCGGGCUGAAGACCCUGCAUGACUAGCUG